rnacentral:ncRNA from 1 species
CCCGUUCGGGUCCGUGGUUGCGCCGGGCCUGCCGCACGGCAGGUCCGGCUAGCCGAUGCCAGCCGCAGGCGAAACGGCCCACGUAAGGCGACUCUUCGUCGACCGAUCACGGUGCGGCUUAGAGGUAAGUCCUGCCUUCCCGGGGGUCCGGAUGUCCCCCGUACGAAGAGAAGGGUAGUAGUGGCGGGAGAAGAGCCGCGAACCCCUCAGCAGGCGGAUGUGGGGACGAAGACCAGGUCGGCCGAACGGG